CUGGAGUACACUAACCUCUCUGCAAACAGUGUUUGCUACUGUUUUGAUUGCAUUCUCAAAUGUAUUUUAUGUAAAGCAUACCUGAGGAAGUGACAAAACAGUUUUGGUGAAAUUUAAAGCUUAAUAAGUUAAGGUAUCUCUAUUAAAAGGAAGAGUGGCAUCUUGGAAAGCAAGAAGAAUGAGAAGAUGAGCAUAAACAAGAAAAGAGUAAUAAAAGAAAAAAGACGAUUGGUACUACUUUUCUUCCUCGCACACAGUUGCAUGUCUAAUUAGAUGUCACAUGUAUUAAUCAAUAAAUUCAAUUUAAGUUUUUUUUUUUUUUUUAAUUUUUAAUUUUAAACGGAAUUUAAGUUAUUGCCAAGAAUAGUAAAAAAACAAAUUAGGUUAAUUUUAUAAAUAUUUUUAUUAUAUCUACUUGUUGGGCUCGGGGUCUAUAGAGGUUGAUACGGACCCUUACAAUUUGGGCUGAUAAACCCAAUUCGUUUUCAGUCUCUUAAAAAUAUACAUCGAUCCCAAACACUCCAGACAAGCCCAGAUAUUUUGCCUGCUUGAACGGCGUCGUAGCAUCCCGGCGGGAAGAAGAAUUCAAAACCGUAUCAGAAAUGGAGGACGAAGAAGAAAAUAUUGGUAGACGACGACGUUUCAGUCGGGGUCACCGUCAUCACAAGCUAUCUGGGUGCUACCCCAAAACAUCUCUGUUUCAAUUCUUUGAACCCAUUUACAGGCUCUCUAUAUGCUUUUAUCUUAUUGUGGGAUUUCCCAAACUGGGAAGAAGAUUGGUGUGAAAGAGCAAUGAUAAAUGUUACGGAUGGGCAAUGAUAAAUGAUAGGGAUGGUUUUUGGGCUUGUUGAAGAAUGGUGGUUGAGCUUGCAAAUGGGUGUGCUUGUUUCACUGUCAACCAUAGUUUGGUCCAAGCACUGGAGAAAUUUUUUCAGAGAAAGCAAAGGUCAUGUUUUCUGGAGAGGAUGAAAAUGAAGAUGAGGAUGAGAAUGAUGAACCUGUGAAGAUAGACAAUUAAAAGGCGGAUUGAUAAUUUACCAUAAAAAAAUCCCUCUUGCAAGAAUAUGAUGGGUUCAAGUAACUAAUGAGACCACAGACACAUCCAAGGCUACUGCAGGGGAUUGAACUUGUAAAGAAGGCACUGGUUUUUGGGUGUGAGAAGAUUUCAAACUGCCAUUGCUCCUAGAGAUAGGUGUGGCAUUGCCUCGAAUUAUCAAGAAUUGAGCUUGUAAUAACAGGGGAGGCAGUUUGUAGAAUGAAGAAGCAAAAAUUCUUGGAAGCGACAUAAGUUGAUGCAUUUGGUUGUUUAUAUGUUUCUGCAUUCUCCUGCUCAAAGAACCUUCUCUACAUUCAUACUUCCACCGAGCUUUAAACCGUAGAACAUCCUAAACCAUGUGGUUUGCUUUGAAGUUCAAUGGAGAGUUUCCCACUUCCAGGAGCUGCAUGAUCAAGCUGCAAACUUUGCAGUAUGGGUUCAUCAAUUUAAUCUGAAAAUUUAAGACUUCCAUUCUUGUAUUAGGUUUUCCUAACCAGCACCAUUGAUGAGUUGUAAAUUUAUGCUGUACCUGCUUAACUUUCAAGGUUGCCAUAUUAAUUAAAUUCUUAUUAAUUUGGCAGGGAAGCUACUCAAAGAACAGAAUAUGUAAGAUUUGUAUGCUUUUAGACACUCAUGUAAGGCAAACGGAAAGCCAAUGCUUAGCGUUAGCGGGAUUUUUUUUGUAUGUUUUGGUUUAACGGUAUAUAAGACUGUGAAAUUGUUUAGCAUUUGAUAAA